rnacentral:rRNA from 1 species
AUACGUAGGGGGCAAGCGUUAUCCGGAUUUACUGGGUGUAAAGGGAGCGCAGGCGGCGGGACAAGUCAGAAGUGAAAUCCCCGGGCUCACCCCGGGGGCUGCUUUUGAAACUGUUCUGCUAGAUUCCAGGAGAGGUAAGCGGAAUUCCUAGUGUAGCGGUGAAAUGCGUAGAUAUUAGGAGGAACACCAGUGGCGAAGGCGGCUUACUGGACUGGCAAUGACGCUCAGGCUCGAAAGCGUGGGGAGCAAACAGGAUUAGAUACCCGGGUAGUCCACGCCGUAAACGAUGAAUACUAGGUGUCGGGCCCGCACAGGGUUCGGUGCCGGCGCAAACGCAUUAAGUAUUCCACCUGGGGAGUACGUUCGCAAGAAUGAAACUCAAAGGAAUUGGCGGGG